UUAGAUAGGACUUAGAUUUCCUGUCAUAA
rnacentral:piRNA from 1 species